CCUACGGGAGGCAGCAGUGGGGAAUAUUGGGCAAUGGGCGCAAGCCUGACCCAGCAACGCCGCGUGAAGGAAGAAGGCCCUCGGGUUGUAAACUUCUUUUAUCAGGGACGAAACAAAUGACGGUACCUGAUGAAUAAGCCACGGCUAACUACGUGCCAGCAGCCGCGGUAAUACGUAGGUGGCAAGCGUUAUCCGGAUUUACUGGGUGUAAAGGGCGUGUAGGCGGGAGAGCAAGUCAGACGUGAAAUUCCAGGGCUCAACCCUGGAACUGCGUUUGAAACUGCAUGGCUGGAGUACAGGAGGGGCAGGCGGAAUUCCUAGUGUAGCGGUGAAAUGCGUAGAUAUUAGGAGGAACACCGGUGGCGAAGGCGGCCUGCUGGACUGUGACUGACGUUGAGGCCCGAAGGCGUGGGGAGCAAACAGGAUUAGAUACCCGAGUAGUC
rnacentral:rRNA from 1 species